UGUGAUUCCACAGUUUUGCACAAUUCACAGUGUCUCAAGCAGUUUCUAACUUCCUAUACAAGAUGUUCCAACUUUACGAAGGCACUGUCACUGCCUGUCACUGAAGAGCAGAUACUGAUUUGUUGCCACAGUCCCAACCCCUAGUCUACAAUGAGAAAAACACCAGACAAACCCCAACGGAGGAUAUUCCUCACAACACAUGAGCAGUAGUUCUGGGAUCAAGGUUAUCAAAAACAAGGAGAGGCUGAGAAAAUGUCACAGUCUGGAGGUACCUAAAGCAGCACAACAAGUAAGUGUAAUGUGGUAUCCUGGAACAGAAGAAGAAACAUCAGAAGAAAUCUAAUAAAAUCCAAACAGAGUGUGAAGUUUAGUUAA